rnacentral:rRNA from 1 species
AGUGAAAAGAACCUUAACUAAGGAGUGAAAGAGAACCUGAAACAAAAAAUAACCAUGCAAUCGAUUUUCUCUGUACGGGAGGUCGGUGUACCUUUUGCAUAAUGGGUCAGCGAGUAAAUAAAAAAAGCGAGGCUUAAACGACGAAGUGGAGGCAAAGCAAAAGCGAGUAUGAAGAGUGCGUGUGUUUUUUUUAUUUGACCCGAAACUAAGUGAUCUAGCUUUGAACAGGCUGAAGAAAGGGUAAAAGCUUUUGGAGGGCCGAACUGACGUCUGUUGCAAUAGACGCAGAUGAGUUGAGGCUAGGGGUGAAAGGCCAAUCAAACUUAGAGAUAGCUGGUUCUCCGCGAAAUUUAUUGAGGUAAAGCGUUCAACGAUGUAGAAAGGGGGUAGAGCACUCAUUAGGUAAAGGGGAUCCAAAGUCUUACUGAACUUAUUGAAACUCCGAAGACCUUUCUUUGAUAUCUUGAGCAGACAGACUUAAAGUGCUAAGGUUUUAAGUCAAAAGGGAAACAGCCCAGACUGUUCGCUAAGGUCCUUAAACAUUUUGGAAGUGGUAAAAGGCGUUUUAAAACAAAGACAGCUAGGAGAUUGGCUUGGAAGCAGCCAUUCUAUAAUGAAAGCGUAAUAGCUCACUAGUCGAGUUUUAAAGCACUGAUAAUGUAUCGGGGCUUCACAAAAUUACCCAAGCGACAGAGAACAAUGGUAGCGGAGCGUUUUGUAGACCGUAGAAGAAGUUUUGUGAAAAACUUUGGAGGAUUCAAAAGUGAGAAUGCUGACAUGAGUAACGAAAAAUCAUGUGACAAUCAUGAUCGCCGUAAGUUCAAGGGUUUCUGCGUUCUGUUUUUCAGCGCAGAGUGAUCCGGUCUCUAAGUGUGUUUUUGAUAAAAAACCACGAUGAAAAAAAUGAAAGAUGACGAAAUGUUUUUUAGAAACCAACAGUUUAUUGGAUAGCUUUUUCGUUUCUAAUGUUUCCAGGAAAAAUCUUCAUAAAAUUGACCGUACCCUAAACCGACACCGGUGAACGAGUCGAGUAGACUCAGGCGUUGAGAGAACCAUAUUGAAGGAACUCGGCAAAUUUUUCCUGUACCUUUGGAAGAAAGGAAGCCAAUUUUGGUGACACAAAAAUGGGGGUGACGACUUUUUACUAAAAAAUUAGGACUCUGCAAAAUGGGAACAUGAAGUAUAGGGUCUGACGCCUGCCCGGUGCUUGAAGCUUAACCUGUAUGCUUUUUUGGUAUAUUGAGAAGGCCUAGUAAACGGCGGUUGUAACUAUAACAAUCAUAAAGUAGCGAAAUUCAUUGUCAGCUAAUUCCUGACCUGCAUGAAAGGCGUAACGAUUGCCCCACUGUCUCCAGUAUGGACUCAGUGAAAUUGAAUUCUCCGUGCAGAUGCGGAGAACGUGCCCCAAGACGAGAAGACCCUAUGCAUCUUUACUGUACAUUUACACUGGAAAAAAGCUUAAAUUGUGUAGGAUAGGUGGGAGUUGACAACAACCUUGAAAUACCACCCUUUUUAAGAAGAGUUCCUUAUUUGAACAAGGUUCAAAAACACUGUAUAUGAGGCAGUUUGACUGGGGCGGUCGCCUCCCAAAGAGUAACGGAGGUGUGCGAAGGUAAACUCAAUGAAAGACGGAAACUUUCUGUAGAGCGUAAUGGUAAAAGUUUGCCUGACUGCGAGAGUGACACCUCGAGCAGAGACGAAAGUCGGCCAUAGUGAUCCAAAAGUGCUGCGUGGAAAGACUUUUGCUUAACGAAUCAAAGAUACGCUAGGGAUAACAGGCUAAUAA